rnacentral:rRNA from 1 species
CAGAGGGUGCGAGCGUUGUUCGGAAUUAUUGGGCGUAAAGCGCGUGUAGGCGGCUUAGUAAGUUGGGUGUGAAAGCCCUCGGCUUAACCGAGGAAGUGCGCCCAAAACUGCUUGGCUUGAGUACCGGAGAGGGUGGCGGAAUUCCCGGUGUAGAGGUGAAAUUCGUAGAUAUCGGGAGGAGCACCAGCGGCGAAGGCGGCCACCUGGACGGAUACUGACGCUGAGACGCGAAAGCGUGGGGAGCAAACAGGAUUAGAUACCCUGGUAGUCCACGCUGUAAACGAUGAGCGCUAGGUGUUGCGGGUGUUGACCCCUGCAGUGCCGCAGCUAACGCAUUAAGCGCUCCGCCUGGGAAGUACGGCCGCAAGGCUA